rnacentral:rRNA from 1 species
AUUCCGCGUGAGUGAGAAGGCCUUCGGGUUGUAAAGCUCUUUCAGCCGGAACGAAACGGUGCGCUCUAACAUAGCGCGCUACUGACGGUACCGUCAGAAGAAGCACCGGCUAACUACGUGCCAGCAGCCGCGGUAAUACGUAGGGUGCGAGCGUUAAUCGGAAUUACUGGGCGUAAAGCGUGCGCAGGCGGAUUGUUAAGCAAGACGUGAAAUCCCCGGGCUUAACCUGGGAAUGGCGUUUUGAACUGGCAGUCUAGAGUGCGUCAGAGGGGGGUGGAAUUCCACGUGUAGCAGUGAAAUGCGUAGAGAUGUGGAGGAACACCGAUGGCGAAGGCAGCCCCCUGGGAUGACACUGACGCUCAUGUACGAAAGCGUGGGUAGCAAACAGGAUUAGAUACCCUGGUAGUCCACGCCCUAAACGAUGUCAACUGGUUGUUGGGGGAGUGAAAUCCCUU